rnacentral:pre_miRNA from 13 species
ACCAUUAAAUAGGAGCUUGCUCACUCCAGAUCUGAAAGGAGGUGAUAGGAAACCACUUCUGCUACUUCAUGAAUACCCGUGGGUGUGCGCGUAGCCAUGGUGAGCUGCGCAGGCUAAGGGUCUGCAUGUGCUAGGAGAUGUGGUUGCCUUGAUCUUUUUGGUCUUGGGGUGAAGGGAGCUCCUAUAGUC